rnacentral:rRNA from 1 species
GAUGAACGCUGGCGGCGUGCCUAAUACAUGCAAGUCGAGCGAACAGAUGAGGAGCUUGCUCCUCUGACGUUAGCGGCGGACGGGUGAGUAACACGUGGAUAACCUACCUAUAAGACUGGGAUAACUUCGGGAAACCGGAUCUAAUACCGGAUAAUAAAUUGAACCGCAUGGUUCAAUAGUGAAAGACGGUUUUGCUGUCACUUAUAGAUGGAUCCGCGCCGCAUUAGCUAGUUGGUAAGGUAACGGCUUACCAAGGCAACGAUGCGUAGCCGACCUGAGAGGGUGAUCGGCCACACUGGAACUGAGACGCGGUCCAGACUCCUACGGGAGGCAGCAGUAGGGAAUCUUCCGCAAUGGGCGAAAGCCUGACGGAGCAACGCCGCGUGAGUGAUGAAGGUCUUCGGAUCGUAAAACUCUGUUAUUAGGGAAGAACAAAUGUGUAAGUAACUAUGCACGUCUUGACGGUACCUAAUCAGAAAGCCACGGCUAACUACGUG